rnacentral:tRNA from 1 species
UCGAAUCCCUCUCUCUCCU